rnacentral:rRNA from 1 species
GAUGAACGCUAGCGGCAGGCCUAAUACAUGCAAGUCGGACGGGAUUCGGGAGCUUGCUCCCGAUGAGAGUGGCGCACGGGUGCGUAACACGUGGGCAAUCUGCCGAGAAGUGGGGGAUAGCUCGCCGAAAGGCGAAUUAAUACCGCAUAUGAUCAGGGAAGACAUCUUUCCGACAUCAAAGCCGGGGCAACCUGGCGCUUCUUGAUGAGCCCGCGGCCUAUCAGCUAGUUGGCGAGGUAACGGCUCACCAAGGCUAUGACGGGUAGCUGGUCUGAGAGGACGACCAGUCACACUGGAACUGAGACACGGUCCAGACACCUACGGGUGCAGCAGUCGAGUAAUUUUUCUCAAUGGGGCAACCCUGAAGGAGCGACGCCGCGUGGA